rnacentral:lncRNA from 1 species
AUGCAAGCAAAGAAGAAUCUGCCAGCGAUUGAAGUCGUGGAGGAGGAAGAAGAGGAAGAAGAGGAGGGAGAUGAAGUGGAGGCUGCUGGGGAGAUGGAGGAAGAGGAGGAAGAGGAGGAGGAGGAAGACUAUGAGGAGGGGGAGGAGGAAGACUAUGAGGAGGGGGAGGAGGAAGACUAUGAGGAGGAGGGGGAGGAGGAAGACUAUGAGGAGGAGGAGGAGGAGGAGGACUAUGAGGAGGAGGAGGAAGAAUAUGAGGAAGAGGAGGAGGAAGAAUAUGAGGAGGAGGCAGAGGAAGAGGAAGAAGAGGAGGAAGAGGCUGUGGACCAGGAGGAGGAAGAGGAAGAAGAUGAGGAGAAACCUGGAGCAGCUACUCUCGAGACUGAUGAAGAUGAAGAGGAGGAUGAAGCUUCUCCUGAACCUGUUUCCACUUCUGAAGAUGAAGUGACUCCCGAUUCUGACAGUGAUGAAGAUGAUGAAAAAAAACAUGACGAAGAUGAUACCAGUGACGAUGCAUUCACUGACACCUCAGACAUCAGUGAAUCUAAACUUCUCUCCAGUGAAGAAGAAGAGCAGGAUGUUGAUGAUGAUGAUGAUGAUGAUGAAGAUGACAGAUUAGCAGAGGGCAUUACAACUUCUGAUAGCGAUGAUGUCAUUGCAGAAGACACAGAUGACGACCUGGAGCUUGAUCUUCCUCCUAUCUCCGCUCCUCGUGAGGAUGAUGAUGAAGAUGAUGAUCAUAAACUCGUUGAAGAGGAAGAUGUCAAAGUCGCUGAAGACACAGAUGAGGACGAUCUGGACCAAUCAGAUGACGACAUCUCUGUUGCCUCCUCUGAGCACUUUGCAGACGAUGAAGAUGAUGAUGAAGACAGCGACAUUAAAGAUGAAGACCUCGGCCUUGACAAAGAGAAAGAGAAACCCGAUGAGGUCACUAAAGAGGACACCCAUGAUGAGGAUGAUGAUGAUGAAAAGGAGGAGGAGGAGGAGGAAGAGGAUGAGAUCCCUCCCCUGGAGACUACAGACAGUGGAGUAUUAGGUGAUGAAGAUGAUGACGACAUUACUCUUAAAACUGAUGAAGAAUCUGUCUUCAGUGACGAUGAAGAUGAAGUCACAUCAGAGUCGUUAGCUAGUGAGGAUGAAGAAGACGAUGAUGAGGAGGAAGAUGAUGAUGAUGUUGAUGACAUCUUACUUGCAGCUGCCACUGUAGCAGCGCUCACUGUCCAGGAGGAGGCAGCAAAGACUGAGGCAGAUGAUGAUGAAGAGGAGCUCAGUGAGGCUGCUGAGGAGGAGAAGACGGAGGAGGCUGAAGAUGAGGAAACGGCUACCAGGCAGCCUGCUGGUCUUAAGGAAGAAGAGGAACCACACAGGGAGCUGAAAGCUAAACCACACAAAUCUGUAGACGAACCUGAGGAUAAGAAAGAGGAGUAUGAUGAAGAUGACGAUGACGAGGAGAAGGCAACAGUGGAUGUGACUAAACCUGUGCCUGAACCUGAGGAAGAGGCAUCAAAGUCUGAACCUGCAGUGUGUCCGUGUCUGCAUUCUGCGAAGGCCAAAGGGUCAGUCACCAAGACCGAAGAGAAAAAAGGUUUGUGAUCCUUCUGUACAGUCAGUGAAAUUAAAUCUGUUGA